rnacentral:rRNA from 1 species
GAGUGUGAUCAUACCAACGUUAAUGCACCAAAUCCCCUCAGAACUGCGCAAUUAAGUGGGCUUGGGCUAGAGUAGUACUGGGAUGGGUGACCUCCCGGAAAGUCCUAGUGUUGUACCCU